AAAAAUUUAGUUAAAAACUAUAACAAUAGCUUGUCAAGCUAUAAUUAUUAAAUAUAAUAAUUUUUA
rnacentral:tRNA from 1 species